rnacentral:rRNA from 1 species
ACACGUCUACAUUAGACUACCCGGGUAGUCCCAGCCGUAAACUAUGCGCGUUAGGUGUAUCGGUGACCACGAGUUACCGAGGUGCCGAAGGGAAACCGUGAAACGUGCCGCCUGGGAAGUACGGUCGCAAGGCUGAAACUUAAAGGAAUUGGCGGGGAGCACCACAACAGGUGGAGCCUGCGGUUUAAUUGGACUCAACGCCGGGAAGCUCACCGGAUAGGACAGCAGAAUGAUUGCCGGGCUGAAGACCCUGCAUGACUAGCUG